UACGGGGGGGGCAAGCGUUGUUCGGAAUUACUGGGCGUAAAGGGCGCGUAGGCGGCCUACUAAGUCGGACGUGAAAUCCCUCGGCUCAACCGGGGAACUGCGUCUGAUACUGGAUGGCUUGAGUUCGGGAGAGGGAUGCGGAAUUCCAGGUGUAGCGGUGAAAUGCGUAGAUAUCUGGAGGAACACCGGUGGCGAAGGCGGCAUCCUGGACCGAUACUGACGCUGAGGAGCGAAAGCCAGGGGAGCAAACGGG
rnacentral:rRNA from 1 species